rnacentral:lncRNA from 1 species
CAAGACCAUCAACAGCUAUUUAGACUCUCAAAAUCGAGCACCGGAGAGCUGCCGGGAAGCACAUUUCUUAAGAGAGUUAACAGAACAUCUCCGGAGAAGUGGGCAAGGCAGGCGUAGGCGGAACACAAACACACACAGACAUUCCCGAUUCCUGCCCCAGGAGGGAUGCCGCCAGCCUAGGUGAUACGUCUGCAGUGUCUCACCCUGUGAGGUCUUCCCAUUUCUCCUUCGUGACGUCCAGUUAUAGGGAGCUGCUAUGAUCGUUCAUCAGCUGCCCCAGGAUGUCUGGAACCUUCCACGUCACCAUCCAUAUGUAAACUGGCACAUCUUCUCUUGCCUUUGCAUGCUGCAGCCUGAACUCCAUCCUUCAGCUUCCACACGUAUAUUAAAGCCAACUCCGGUUUCAUCCUCAAAACUGGUCUGAAGCUCCACAGUAUCUGCAGG